AGGAGGAACAGCCCCAGUGGUGGGGCCAGCUCUGGAAACCUGGAUCAGCUUCCUACAGUAACUCUGGAGCUCUCCUCUGCAGGGCCUGGAGGCUCCGGGGCGGG
rnacentral:pre_miRNA from 1 species